ensembl:lncRNA
GAGCCACCAUUCAAACUUUAAAACGAAGACAAGACAUUCAACUAUUCAACUUGUAUUUAUCUUUUCAAUAUCUAUUAUACUUUUUCUUCAGUUCCAGUUUAAGUUUCAUGAUGUUUUUUCACCCGUUUCAAAAUUUAUAAUGGGUGUGUAUGGGACGGAAUGUUGGGGCUAGAGUGAGACAGCUCAACUGCUAGAGUGAGAGGAGCAAAAAAAUUUAUCUUAAAAUCUUUUUUAAAACUGCUGCUGUGUCCGCAGCGUUUGCUCUACAGGUAUGAUUUUACCCUCAAAACGUAGCCAUCGCUGUCCUCUUUCAUCCAAUGUGUUUACUAUUGUACUAGGUGUUAUGGUUCUUUCAUAAAUGUCACCAAUGCACAGCCUCCUCCCUCCAACUCUUCCAUAGACUCUAAUGUUAAAAUGGCUCAGAAGGUUCGUUUGAAAAUCAGAAGAGCAUGGUGUCUUUCCACUGUCACCACGUCCAUAUAAUAAACUCCACAGGCAUGAAAACUGAGAAUUCAGUAGACUAGAAGCUGCUGUCGCUCACGGUGAAAGAAUUUUGUCAAUACGACUUUUACUUUUCAUUUGGGAACGAUUUGUUUCGGCCUGACUUUUCUGUUCAUUUUAAGCAGCAAAAGUGAGGCGCAUGUCUGUGUACGUGUGUAUGGAGCCAUUGGGUGCGGUCACUAUAGCAACCAGGCUCACACCUGCCUGCUUAACGAGCUCUGCCUGCCACUGUACCAAGAUUCAUCUUAAACACUUCUCUUUCAACUGCUGCUGUGUCCACAGUGUUACAGCCAUCAUUUUACCCUCAAAUUGUCGCCAUUAUUGUUCUCUUUCCAACACCGUAUCUUUCAAAGCUCAGGCAUUUAAACUUUUUAAACUGUGUGGAUCAAAGUGGAGGGAUCACAUUUGAGUCAUUCAGUGAUUCAAAGAAUAUGACCUUUUAAUAUUCAUUCAGAUGUUUUCUGACUCUGAAUGUUCUUUUCUCAUUUCUUAGGGUUUUCUAAUUUACAUUUAAAACAUUUUCAGUUUUUUUCCAACUCCUUCUUCUGUGUAACCUUCAGCUUUUAGCAGUUCAGCACCUUUGUUUUCAGGUUAAAUUCGUUUUUUUUUUUGUUUUUUUUUUAAUCUCAUUCAAUAUUUUUAACUCAAAAUUCAGCAAUUAAUUCAUUUCAGUGCAUACAUUCAGAUUCAAGCAUUCACACUGCAGUUUCUUCAGAAAAUGCACUUUCUAGUUAUUAUUAGUGUGAAUGCUUGAAAAGCAUUCACAGUAUUGUUCUUCUAAUCUUUAUUCUAUUUUAUUAUAUUUUAUUAUUAUGGAUUCCGUACGUUUUUUGUAAUCUAUCUCCUUCAAAACCGUUCAACUUAGAAAAAACCAUUCAAACACCAUUAGAUUCCUAUUCUUUUGGACAUGACUGCUUCUAUUUUUCUCAUUUUUAACAUUUAUAUUUUUAAUUUUAUUCAACUUUUUUCAACAAAAAUUUCCCAUGUAUUUCAAUGGGGAGACCCUUCAAAUUCUCAUUCAACUUCCUCCUCUUUAAACUGUAUCUACUUCCACAUACAUUGACAUAGAGCCACCAUUCAAACUUUAAAACGAAGACAAGACAUUCAACUAUUCAACUUGUAUUUAUCUUUUCAAUAUCUAUUAUACUUUUUCUUCAGUUCCAGUUUAAGUUUCAUGAUGUUUUUUCACCCGUUUCAGAGUUUAUAAUGGGUGUGUAUGGGACGGAAUGUUGGGGCUAGAGUGAGACAGCUCAACUGCUAGAGUGAGAGGAGCAAAAAAAUUAAUCUUAAAAUCUUUUUUAAAACUGCUGCUGUGUCCGCAGCGUUUGCUCUACAGGUAUGAUUUUACCCUCAAAACGUAGCCAUGGCUGUCCUCUUUCAUCCAAUGUGUUUACUAUUGUCCUAGGUGUUAUGGUUCUUUCAUAAAUGUCACCAAUGCACAGCCUCCUCCCUCCAACUCUUCCAUAGACUCUAAUGUUAAAAUGGCUCAGAAGGUUCGUUUGAAAAUCAGAAGAGCAUGGUGUCUUUCCACUGUCACCACGUCCAUAUAAUAAGCUCCACAGGCAUGAAACUGAGAAUUAGGUAGACUAG